rnacentral:lncRNA from 1 species
AAACGUUUUGUUAAAACAGAUAUCAGAUUACUGAGUAGUUUGGUUCAUCAGGCUGACCCCCAGUGUUCAUGGAUCAGAUUACUGAGUAGUUUGGUUCAUCAGGCUGACCCCCAGUGUUCAUGGAUCAGAUUACUGAGUAGUUUGGUUCAUCAGGCUGACCCCCAGUGUUCAUGGAUCAGAUUACUGAGUAGUUUGGUUCAUCAGGCUGACCCCCAGUGUUCAUGGAUCAGAUUACUGAGUAGUUUGGUUCAUCAGGCUGACCCCCAGUGUUCAUGGAUCAGAUUACUGAGUAGUUUGGUUCAUCAGGCUGACCCCCAGUGUUCAUGGAUCAGAUUACUGAGUAGUUUGGUUCAUCAGGCUGACCCCCAGUGUUCAUGGAUCAGAUUACUGAGUAGUUUGGUUCAUCAGGCUGACCUCCAGUCUUCAUGGAUCAGAUUACUGAGUAGUUUGCUUCAUCAGGCUGACCCCCAGUGUUCAUGGAUCAGAUUACUGAGUAGUUUGGUUCAUCAGGCUGACCCCCAGUGUUCAUGGAUCAGAUUACUGAGUAGUUUGGUUCAUCAGGCUGACCCCCAGUCUUCAUGGAUCAGAUUACUGAGUAGUUUGGUUCAUCAGGCUGACCCCCAGUGUUCAUGGAUCAGAUUACUGAGUAGUUUGGUUCAUCAGGCUGACCCCCAGUGUUCAUGGAUCAGAUUACUGAGUAGUUUGGUUCAUCAGGCUGACCCCCAGUGUUCAUGGAUCAGAUUACUGAGUAGUUUGGUUCAUCAGGCUGACCCCCAGUGUUCAUGGAUCAGAUUACUGAGUAGUUUGGUUCAUCAGGCUGACCCCCAGUCUUCAUGGAUCAGAUUACUGAGUAGUUUGGUUCAUCAGGCUGACCCCCAGUGUUCAUGGAUCAGAUUACUGAGUAGUUUGGUUUAUCAGGCUGACCCCCAGUGUUCAUGGAUCAGAUUACUGAGUAGUUUGGUUCAUCAGGCUGACCUCCAGUCUUCUCUUGAAGUUAUUGAGGGAUGA